rnacentral:rRNA from 1 species
GAUGAACGCUGGCGGCGUGCCUAAUACAUGCGAGUCGAGCGAACAGACGAGGAGCUUGCUCCUCUGACGUUAGCGGCGGACGGGUGAGUAACACGUGGAUAACCUACCUAUAAGACUGGGAUAACUUCGGGAAACCGGAGCUAAUACCGGAUAAUAUAUUGAACCGCAUGGCUCAAUAGUGAAAGACGGUUUUGCUGUCACUUAUAGAUGGAUCCGCGCCGCAUUAGCUAGUUGGUAAGGUAACGGCUUACCAAGGCAACGAUGCGUAGCCGACCUGAGAGGGUGAUCGGCCACACUGGAACUGAGACACGGUCCAGACUCCUACGGGAGGCGGCAGUAGGGAAUCUUCCGCAAUGGGCGAAAGCCUGACGGAGCAACGCCGCGUGAGUGAUGAAGGUCUUCGGAUCGUAAAACUCUGUUAUUAGGGAAGAACAAAUGUGUAAGUAACUAUGCACGUCUUGACGGUACCUAAUCAGAAAGCCACGGCUAACUACGUG